rnacentral:misc_RNA from 1 species
CUUCCCUCGAGCGCGGCUAGCCCUACGGGGCCUGCCGUCGCCCGGUGUUGGGGCUCUACGGGUGGGGCUCGUCCCCCCCGCAGUCCCCGAAAUGUAGUGGCGGUCCAGCCGCGGCGCCCCCUGCGUAGUAGAUCCUACAUCUCGCAUCGGGUCCCGGCGAAGGCCAGCCGUCGAACCUUUUAUUUCAUG